rnacentral:misc_RNA from 1 species
AAAGUCGUAACAAGGUUUCCGUAGGUGAACCUGCGGAAGGAUCAUUACAAGAAACGAGGCUGCGUGCGCUCAUCCGCCCAGCCCCGCUCCUUACCUUGCCUACUGCACCAUUUGUUGCUUCCUGGCGGCGGACUGCCUGCCGCCAGGGACAUUGGUACAACCCUGUAUAAGUAUUGAAGUCCUGAAAUACGCGAAAUCGUACAACUUUCAACAAUGGAUCUCUUGGUUCUG